UACGUAGGGCGCAAGCGUUGUCCGGAAUUAUUGGGCGUAAAGAGCUCGUAGGCGGCCUGUUGCGUCCGCUGUGAAAUCCCGGGGCUCAACCCCGGGCGUGCAGUGGAUACGGGCAUCACUUGAGUUCGGCAGGGGAGACUGGAAUUCCUGGUGUAGCGGUGGAAUGCGCAGAUAUCAGGAGGAACACCGGUGGCGAAGGCGGGUCUCUGGGCCAUUACUGACGCUGAGGAGCGAAAGCGUGGGGAGCGAACAGG
rnacentral:rRNA from 1 species